AUUGAACGCUGGCGGCAUGCCUUACACAUGCAAGUCGAACGGUAACGGGCCUUCGGGUGCCGACGAGUGGCGAACGGGUGAGUAAUGUAUCGGAACGUGCCUUUCAGUGGGGGAUAACGUAGCGAAAGUUACGCUAAUACCGCAUAUUCUGUGCGCAGGAAAGCAGGGGAUCGCAAGACCUUGCGCUGAUUGAGCGGCCGAUAUCAGAUUAGCUAGUUGGUGAGGUAAAGGCUCACCAAGGCGACGAUCUGUAGCGGGUCUGAGAGGAUGAUCCGCCACACUGGAACUGAGACACGGUCCAGACUCCUACGGGAGGCAGCAGUGGGGAAUUUUGGACAAUGGGGGCAACCCUGAUCCAGCCAUGCCGCGUGAGUGAAGAAGGCCUUCGGGUUGUAAAGCUCUUUCGGCCGGGAAGAAAUCGCACGGGCUAAUACCCUGUGUGGAUGACAGUACCGGAAUAAGAAGCACCGGCUAACUACGUGCCAGCAGCCGCCGUAAGAC
rnacentral:rRNA from 1 species